rnacentral:rRNA from 1 species
AUGCAAGUCGAGCGGCAGCGACAACAUUGAACCUUCGGGGGAUUUGUUGGGCGGCGAGCGGCGGACGGGUGAGUAAUGCCUAGGAAAUUGCCCUGAUGUGGGGGGAUAACCAUUGGAAACGAUGGCUAAUACCGCAUGAUGCCUUCGGGCCAAAGAGGGGGACCUUCGGGCCUCUCGCGUCAGGAUAUGCCUAGGUGGGAUUAGCUAGUUGGUGAGGUAAGGGCUCACCAAGGCGACGAUCCCUAGCUGGUCUGAGAGGAUGAUCAGCCACACUGGAACUGAGACACGGUCCAGACUCCUACGGGAGGCAGCAGUGGGGAAUAUUGCACAAUGGGCGCAAGCCUGAUGCAGCCAUGCCGCGUGUGUGAAGAAGGCCUUCGGGUUGUAAAGCACUUUCAGUAGGGAGGAAGGCAGUGUCGUUAAUAGCGGCAUUGUUUGACGUUACCUACAGAAGAAGCACCGGCUAACUCCGUGCCAGCAGCCGCGGUAAUACGGAGGGUGCGAGCGUUAAUCGGAAUUACUGGGCGUAAAGCGCAUGCAGGUGGUUUGUUAAGUCAGAUGUGAAAGCCCAGGGCUCAACCUUGGAAUUGCAUUUGAAACUGGCAAACUAGAGUACUGUAGAGGGGGGUAGAAUUUCAGGUGUAGCGGUGAAAUGCGUAGAGAUCUGAAGGAAUACCGGUGGCGAAGGCGGCCCCCUGGACAGAUACUGACACUCAGAUGCGAAAGCGUGGGGAGCAAACAGGAUUAGAUACCCUGGUAGUCCACGCCGUAAACGAUGUCUACUUGGAGGUUGUGGCCUUGAGCCGUGGCUUUCGGAGCUAACGCGUUAAGUAGACCGCCUGGGGAGUACGGUCGCAAGAUUAAAACUCAAAUGAAUUGACGGGGGCCCGCACAAGCGGUGGAGCAUGUGGUUUAAUUCGAUGCAACGCGAAGAACCUUACCUACUCUUGACAUCUACAGAAGCUUGCGGAGACGCGAGUGUGCCUUCGGGAACUGUAAGACAGGUGCUGCAUGGCUGUCGUCAGCUCGUGUUGUGAAAUGUUGGGUUAAGUCCCGCAACGAGCGCAACCCUUAUCCUUGUUUGCCAGCGAGUAAUGUCGGGAACUCCAGGGAGACUGCCGGUGAUAAACCGGAGGAAGGUGGGGACGACGUCAAGUCAUCAUGGCCCUUACGAGUAGGGCUACACACGUGCUACAAUGGCGCAUACAGAGGGCAGCCAACUUGCGAAAGUGAGCGAAUCCCAAAAAGUGCGUCGUAGUCCGGAUUGGAGUCUGCAACUCGACUCCAUGAAGUCGGAAUCGCUAGUAAUCGUGGAUCAGAAUGCCACGGUGAAUACGUUCCCGGGCCUUGUACACACCGCCCGUCACACCAUGGGAGUGGGCUGCAAAAGAAGUAGGUAGUUUAACCCUUCGGGGAGGACGCU